UUCGGAACGAGAUUUGCUUUCCAGCGUCCUGAGAUUUGGAUACAGACCACAACAAAGAGCGAUCGCCAGUGCUGAAAAUAGUCUGGAGGGGAAAAAGCACCAAAAGCAGCAUGAAGGUGUGACAACGACUACCAAGGAUGUUGGCAGCUGAGGUCUAUUUGGACUCCUCUAAUUGGACUUGAUGUAUAGUUCAACCUAAAAAAGAGCAUUUCUCCACCUGCAGACCCUGUAGUGACACCAGCCGUCCGUGGAAAGGGGAUCUCUCUUUGAAUUGCCUUUCCCGAGGUUUCUUCCCUUUUUCCUGCCUGGCCUCAGGAUUUUGGGGAGUUUUUUCUCGUCUUCUUAGAGAGCUUGGGCUGGUCAGGAGCUGCUGCAGACGUGGACCAUUGGACUUUAUUUAAAACUACUUUAAACUGAAUUUGUUAAUGAACAAUAAAAACAAAAAAAGAGAUUAAAUUAAAGCUCAGUGAACUGAUAUUUUCUUUGUAUUGCAGAUUGUCAUACUCUGAAUUAUAUAAAGGUUUUACUUUUUUAUGGUGAAAGACAUUAAAUAACUGCUGACUAUGACAUUUUUAAAAAAUCAGUCAUUUCAUGCUGUGAUUAUUACUUUUCUGCCUCAUUAAAAAAGUUUGUUUUCAUUCAAAAUAAUGUUAGUAAUAAUACAAAAUUAGGAAAUGAUUUGAUGAUGCGGUGGUAUACUGUGUUUACAUGUGAAAAUGUAGAUUAAGCAAUUCACAGGAUAAAAAUGAAAUUGUGCAAAGAUUAAAUAAGAUUAUAAAAGACUGAAAUAAACUAAACUGAUAAUAUUCAAUAGAUGCAACAAAAAACUGUACGUUG